GCCAAGGUAAACUAUGUAGGUUAUUGGGUUCAUGCCCCAACUGAAGAAGUGUGGACUUCUCUUUGGUG
rnacentral:tRNA from 1 species